rnacentral:tRNA from 1 species
UAAGGCAUAGCUUGAGUAGCGUUUCACUUACACUGAAUUUUUAUAGCCUUAG